rnacentral:rRNA from 1 species
UACGUAGGGUCCGAGCGUUGUCCGGAAUUAUUGGGCGUAAAGGGCUCGUAGGCGGUUCGUCACGUCGGGAGUGAAAACUCGGAGCUUAACUCCGAGCCUGCUUCCGAUACGGGCAGACUAGAGGUAGGCAGGGGAGAGCGGAACUCCUGGUGUAGCGGUGGAAUGCGCAGAUAUCAGGAGGAACACCGGUGGCGAAGGCGGAUCUCUGGGCCUUACCUGACGCUCAGGCGCGAAAGCUAGGGGAGCGAACAGG